UUGUGAGCUGCAGAAUAACAGAAGCCAUGGAGCAUUCUGGAAGUACACCUACGAUGGAAGGGACUUCAUUGAAUUUGAUGCAAGUAUCCCAGCCUGGAUUCCCUUGGACCCAGCAGCCUAUGACACCAAGAAGAAGUGGGAGGCAGAUCCAGGAUCUGUGCAGCGGGCCAAGGCCUACUUGGAGGAGGAGUGCCCUCAGACACUGCAGAUAUACCUGAGCUUCAGCGUGACUAUCCUGGACCAGUGAGACCCUCCUGGGUAGGUCACCUGCUAUGAGACAUGAAGAAAAAGAUCACUCAGUUGCUUGGCUUAUGGCUUCUGCCCCCGGGAAAUGCGUCUGGACUGGACUUUGGCUGGCGAGGUGCUGGACUCUCAGUCACGAGAAGAUUUCCUUCCUAGUAGAAAUGGUACUUAGUGGUGGUGGGUGGUGGUGGAAGUCCCCCCUCCCGAAGACGGAGCCCCUACACCUGCUGCAUGGAGCACCGUGCCCUGGUUAAGCCCCUCACUGUGCCCUGGGACAAUAGUCCAGAAGAAAGAGCUCGAGGCGCCCUGGAGUCUCAGUCCCAGUGGCUGCCCCUUCUGCCUGGCACAAGAGAUCUGAACUGAAGAGUCAUCCUCAACGUCACCACAAGAUCUGGAGAGCAGUUUCCAGCAGAAGACAGGUCUUGGAUUUGGAGACAGAAGACUGAAAUGUCAGGCAUUGGGCUGACUCACCGACAAAGCUCUUUACUGGGAAAACCCCCUCAUGGUCUCACCUGUGGUAUCUAAUAAACAUCUUCUUGCCUAGCACAA